rnacentral:rRNA from 1 species
AGAGUUUGAUCAUGGCUCAGAAUCAACGCUGGCGGCGCGCUUAACACAUGCAAGUCGAGCGAGAAAGUGGAGCAAUCCAUGAGUACAGCGGCGUACGGGUGAGUAACACGUGGGUAAUCCACCUCUUAGUGGGGAAUAACCCUGGGAAACCGGGGCUAAUACCGCAUAAGCCUGAGAAGGGAAAGCAGCAAUGCGCUGAGAGAGGAGCCCGCGGCCGAUUAGCUAGUUGGUGAGGUAACGGCCCACCAAGGCGACGAUCGGUAGCCGGCCUGAGAGGGCACACGGCCACACUGGCACUGAAACACGGGCCAGACUCCUACGGGAGGCAGCAGUGGGGAAUCUUGCACAAUGGAGGCAACUCUGAUGCAGCGACGCCGCGUGAGCGAUGAAGCCCCUCGGGGUGUAAAGCUCUUUCGGCAGGAACGAUAAUGACGGUACCUGCAGAAGAAGCUGCGGCUAACUACGUGCCAGCAGCCGCGGUAAUACGUAGGCAGCGAGCGUUGUUCGGAAUUACUGGGCGUAAAGAGUGUGUAGGCGGUGUUCUAAGUUCGGUGUGAAAUCUCCUGGCUCAACUGGGAGGGUGCGCCGAAAACUGGGAUGCUCGAGCGUGGGAGAGGAAAGCGGAAUUCCUGGUGUAGCGGUGAAAUGCGUAGAUAUCAGGAGGAACACCGCGGUGUAGACGGCUUUCUGGACCAUUGCUGACGCUGAGACACGAAAGCGUGGGUAGCAAACAGGAUUAGAUACCCUAGUAGUCC